rnacentral:lncRNA from 1 species
CCUAUAUAGAUAUCUAUAUAUAUAUAUAUAUAUAUUGUGUACGCAUCGCAAUUUUGUUAUUGACCUAUUCUUUAUAACACAGUCGCAAAUUAUGGCGCCCUAUUUUUAUUAGUAAUUAACGAUCUUAGUAUAUGUUGUAAUAUUAUGAUUUUUGGAGAGAGUGGAAUUCGAUCCGAUCGAGCUAGAAAUAGUGGGAAUGGAAUUUAACGAUGAUAUAUGGUAAAAUGUCUCACAUGAAUCAAUACUAAAAUAUGAUAUAUAUACGAAGCAGACAUUGUUUUCUUAUUUCAGUUUCCUUGGUAAAGGUCAGCCAUGUAAUCAUAGCAAAUUGAAAUAAGAAUCAAGCUAUCAUGAGUGGGGUGGCGUACGUGUGACUUUUAAAAGUAAUGGAGCAUGCGAUAAUUUAAUUACAAAUAGAAAAUAAAACAUAUCUCUAUACGUAGGGAUAUAUAGGUGUGUGGGACUUAGGAAUAUGAACUAAGAGACAACACUUUAUUCAAAUUAAAAUUAUAUACUCCCUCCGUCCCAUUUUUUAUGGGACAAAACUUUUCGGCACGAAGAUUAAAAAAAGUAGAAUUAAGAGAAUUAGAUGUUUAAUGUUAUUUCAAUUCACACACACGCACUCACACACUCACAUACACUCUCUCUCGGCCUCCCCUGUCCUCCAGUUCCGCCGCCGCCUCCUUCGUCCUCCAGUUCCGCCGGGCUCGCAGUGAAGAGACGCCACCGCCGCCGCCUCCGUCGUCGGCCAACUCGAUUCACCAGCAAAUAGAAAUCGAAACCAAAAUCAACCGUCUCCUCUCAAAUCCACAAAUCCACAAGUCAAAAAAAUCAAAUACCAAAAUCCUCAAACCAAAAAAAUCCCCAAAUCGACAAAAAUCAAGAGAUGGCAAUACCUCGCGCCGCUGCGACCUCGUCGAAGAAGGCAAAAAUCAAGAACAAAAAGUUUGUUCAUCACCAAUUUGUUAACUCGAUUCACCAGCAAAAAGCGAAACAAAAAUCAAAACAAAACUGAACCCAAAUUUUAAAGACAAAGGAGAUCUGCCGAAAUCCACAAACGAAAUCUGAAAAAAAAUCAAAUCUGAAAUAUCCCAAACAAAUUCCAUUAGGUGAUUAAUUACAAACAAAUUCCAAGCAAGAUUGCUCACGAACAAAUCGACGGCCUCCUCUCGAAUCCACAUAUCCACAAACCAAACAAAUAAAGGGAGGAGGCUUCUUCUCCGCGAGGCCGACGAUGUCACAGCGAAGGCGGCGACGCGGGUGGAGCAGCCGUGGGAAAACGUAGGUAAGAAGGCGGCAACGCGGGUGCGACCGGGUGGUGGGGGGCGAGGGCGGUGAGUGGCGGUGGAUGCAACAGAUCGACCGGCGGUGGUGGCCGAGAAUUUUGAAGGGAGAAGAGAGGCGGCUGGUAGGGGUGUGAGAGAGAGAGAGAGGAAGUAGGAGAUGAAUUUUAAUUAGGGUUAGGAGAAUUUUUUU